GACGAACGCUGGCGGCGUGCUUAACACAUGCAAGUCGAACGGAAAGGCCCUGCUUUUGUGGGGUGCUCGAGUGGCGAACGGGUGAGUAACACGUGAGUAACCUGCCCUUGACUUUGGGAUAACUUCAGGAAACUGGGGCUAAUACCGGAUAGGAGCUCCUGCUGCAUGGUGGGGGUUGGAAAGUUUCGGCGGUUGGGGAUGGACUCGCGGCUUAUCAGCUUGUUGGUGGGGUAGUGGCUUACCAAGGCUUUGACGGGUAGCCGGCCUGAGAGGGUGACCGGCCACAUUGGGACUGAGAUACGGCCCAGACUCCUACGGGAGGCAGCAGUGGGGAAUAUUGCACAAUGGGCGGAAGCCUGAUGCAGCAACGCCGCGCGCGGGAUGACGGCCUUCGGGUUGUAAACCGCUUUCGCCUGUGACGAAGCGUGAGUGACGGUAAUGGGUAAAGAAGCACCGGCUAACUACGUGCCAGCAGCCGCGGUGAUACGUACGGUGCGAGCGUUGUCCGGAUUUAUUGGGCGUAAAGGGCUCGUAGGUGGUUGAUCGCGUCGGAAGUGUAAUCUUGGGGCUUAACCCUGAGCGUGCUUUCGAUACGGGUUGACUUGAGGAAGGUAGGGGAGAAUGGAAUUCCUGGUGGAGCGGUGGAAUGCGCAGAUAUCAGGAGGAACACCAGUGGCGAAGGCGGUUCUCUGGGCCUUUCCUGACGCUGAGGAGCGAAAGCGUGGGGAGCGAACAGGCUUAGAUACCCUGGUAGUCCACGCUGUAAACGGUGGGUACUAGGUGUGGGGUCCAUUCCACGGGUUCCGUGCCGUAGCUAACGCUUUAAGUACCCCGCCUGGGGAGUACGGCCGCAAGGCUAAAACUCAAAGGAAUUGACGGGGCCCCGCACAAGCGGCGGAGCAUGCGGAUUAAUUCGAUGCAACGCGUAGAACCUUACCUGGGUUUGACAUGGAUCGGGAGUGCUCAGAGAUGGGUGUGCCUCUUUUGGGGUCGGUUCACAGGUGGUGCAUGGCUGUCGUCAGCUCGUGUCGUGAGAUGUUGGGUUAAGUCCCGCAACGAGCGCAACCCUUGUUCACUGUUGCCAGCACGUUAUGGUGGGGACUCAGUGGAGACCGCCGGGGUCAACUCGGAGGAAGGUGGGGAUGACGUCAAGUCAUCAUGCCCCUUAUGUCCAGGGCUUCACGCAUGCUACAAUGGCUGGUACAGAGAGUGGCGAGCCUGUGAGGGUGAGCGAAUCUCGGAAAGCCGGUCUCAGUUCGGAUUGGGGUCUGCAACUCGACCUCAUGAAGUCGGAGUCGCUAGUAAUCGCAGAUCAGCAACGCUGCGGUGAAUACGUUCCCGGG
rnacentral:rRNA from 1 species